UACGUAGGGUGCAAGCGUUAAUCGGAAUUACUGGGCGUAAAGCGUGCGCAGGCGGAUGCAUAAGUCAGAUGUGAAAUCCCCGGGCUUAACCUGGGAACUGCAUUUGUGACUGCAUGGCUAGAGUGUGUCAGAGGGGGGUAGAAUUCCACGUGUAGCAGUGAAAUGCGUAGAUAUGUGGAGGAAUACCGAUGGCGAAGGCAGCCCCCUGGGAUAACACUGACGCUCAUGCACGAAAGCGUGGGGAGCAAACAGG
rnacentral:rRNA from 1 species